rnacentral:rRNA from 1 species
UACAGAGGUCUCAAGCGUUGUUCGGAUUCAUUGGGCGUAAAGGGUGCGUAGGUGGUGCUGUAAGUCAGGUGUGAAAUCUCGGGGCUCAACCCCGAAACUGCACUUGAUACUGCAGUGCUCGAGGACUGGAGAGGAGAUUGGAAUUCAUGGUGUAGCAGUGAAAUGCGCAGAUAUCAGGAGGAACACCAAUUGCGAAGGCAGCUCGCUGGGACGUUACUGACGCUGAGACGCGAAAGCGUGGGGAGCAAACAGG